GAUGAACGCUGGCGGCGUGCCUAAUACAUGCAAGUCGAGCGAACAGACGAGGAGCUUGCUCCUCUGACGUUAGCGGAGGACGGGUGAGUAACACGUGGAUAACCUACCUAUAAGACUGGGAUAACUUCGGGAAACCGGAGCUAAUACCGGAUAAUAUAUUGAACCGCAUGGUUCAAUAGUGAAAGACGGUUUUGCUGUCACUUGUAGAUGGGUCCGCGCCGCAUUAGCUUGUUGGUAAGGUAAUGGCUUACCAAGGCGACGAUGGGUAGCCGACCUGAGAGGGUGACCCGCCACACUGGGACUGAGGGGCGGCCCAGACUGGUACGGGAGGCAGCAGUGGGGAAUCUUGCCCAAGGAGCGGAAGGCUGAUGCAGAAGCGCCGCGUGCGGGAAAACGGUCUUAGGGGGGUAAAACAAUUUCGCAUGUAACGAAGCGUGGGUGACGGUAAUGUGUACAGAAGCCCCGGCUAACUACGUG
rnacentral:rRNA from 1 species